rnacentral:rRNA from 1 species
AGAGUUUGAUCAUGGCUCAGAUUGAACGCUGGCGGAAUGCUUUACACAUGCAAGUCGAACGGCAGCACGGGGGCAACCCUGGUGGCGAGUGGCGAACGGGUGAGUAAUACAUCGGAACGUGCCCAGUCGUGGGGGAUAACUACGCGAAAGCGUAGCUAAUACCGCAUACGAACUCUGGUUGAAAGCGGGGGAUCGCAAGACCUCGCGCGAUUGGAGCGGCCGAUGGCAGAUUAGGUAGUUGGUGGGGUGAAGGCUCACCAAGCCGACGAUCUGUAGCUGGUCUGAGAGGACGACCAGCCACACUGGGACUGAGACACGGCCCAGACUCCUACGGGAGGCAGCAGUGGGGAAUUUUGGACAAUGGGCGCAAGCCUGAUCCAGCCAUUCCGCGUGCAGGAUGAAGGCCCUCGGGUUGUAAACUGCUUUUGUACGGAACGAAACGCGCUGAGUUAAUACCUCGGCGUAAUGACGGUACCGUAAGAAUAAGCACCGGCUAACUACGUGCCAGCAGCCGCGGUAAUACGUAGGGUGCAAGCGUUAAUCGGAAUUACUGGGCGUAAAGCGUGCGCAGGCGGUUAUGUAAGACAGGUGUGAAAUCCCAGGGCUUAACCUUGGAACUGCAUUUGUGACUGCAUAGCUAGAGUACGGUAGAGGGGGAUGGAAUUCCGCGUGUAGCAGUGAAAUGCGUAGAUAUGCGGAGGAACACCGAUGGCGAAGGCAAUCCCCUGGACCUGUACUGACGCUCAUGCACGAAAGCGUGGGGAGCAACAGGAUUAGAUACCCUGGUAGUCCACGCCCUAAACGAUGUCAACUGGUUGUUGGGUCUUCACUGACUCAGUAACGAAGCUAACGCGUGAAGUUGACCGCCUGGGGAGUACGGCCGCAAGGUUGAAACUCAAAUGAAUUGACGG